rnacentral:rRNA from 1 species
AUUGAACGCUGGCGGCAGGCCUAACACAUGCAAGUCGAACGAGUGGCGGACGGGUGAGUAAUGUCUGGGAAACUGCCCGAUGGAGGGGGAUAACUACUGGAAACGGUAGCUAAUACCGCAUACCAUCGGAUGUGCCCAGAUUGGAUUAGCUUGUAGGUGAGGUAACGGCUCACCUAGGCGACGAUCCCUAGCUGGUCUGAGAGGAUGACCAGCACAACUGGACCUGAGACAAGGUCGAUACUCGUACGUGAGGCAGAAUGGGGUAAUAUUGAACAAUGGGAGCAAUCCUGAUGCAGCCAUGCCGCGUGUAUGAAGAAGGCCUUCGGGUUGUAAAGUACUUUCAGCGGGGAGGCGUUACCCGCAGAAGAAGCACCGGCUAACUCCGUGCCAGCAGCCGCGGUAAUUC